rnacentral:rRNA from 1 species
AGUGAACGCUGGCGGUAGGCCUAACACAUGCAAGUCGAACGGCAGCACAGUAAGAGUUUGCUCUUACGGGUGGCGAGUGGCGGACGGGUGAGGAAUACAUCGGAAUCUACUUUUUCGUGGGGGAUAACGUAGGGAAACUUACGCUAAUACCGCAUACGACCUACGGGUGAAAGCAGUGGAUCUUCGGACCUUUCGCGAUUGAAUGAGCCGAUGUCGGAUUAGCUAGUUGGCGGGGUAAAGGCCCACCAAGGCGACGAUCCGUAGCUGGUCUGAGAGGAUGAUCAGCCACACUGGAACUGAGACACGGUCCAGACUCCUACGGGAGGCAGCAGUGGGGAAUAUUGGACAAUGGGCGCAAGCCUGAUUCAGCCAUACCGCGUGGGUGAAGAAGGCCUUCGGGUUGUAAAGCCCUUUUGUUGGGAAAGAAAAGCAGCAGGUUAAUACCCCGCUGUUCUGACGGUACCCAAAGAAUAAGCACCGGCUAACUUCGUG